CAUUAAGCAGUGGCCUGUCACGCCCCUCAUGCCUUGCUGCUUCUGCCUUGGUCCCGUUCCAGCUUCCACAAUACGGGCUUCGGGACCUGCCCUCGACUGUGACGCCCUGAGGGCCAAACACUUUACGUGGUAGCUAUUGAAGGCUUUCACAGUUGGCUCUUUGCAGGCGCGUAAGGCUGUGGUCCACAGACCCAUGUUUUACCGGCAAGAGGAGGGCGAUCCUUGCUCUAUGCUGUCAGGUUGUGUUCUUGCUUGUUUUGUUUCACAGGCAGGUGAGGAGAGGGGACAGGAGUGAGACUGUCCUCUCUCUGUCUCCUAUGAAAAAUGGCAUGUCAGUCUCCUGGAAAGCUUUAUGAAGUUUGAAAUAUUAGUCAGCCGCCAGGUGACAUUCAUCAGGCAGGGCGGGACCGAAGUGAGACAGUGGGGGUGCCCCGGCCACCAACAUGCUGAAAGGCCACGUUGCUGGCCUGCUUCCCACACAAAAGCUGUGCCGUGGAUGAUCAAUAACAUCCUGAUUGGGGAGGAAGUUCUGGCAUCGGGCCUCCCGAGGAAGGAGGAGGCGGACACAGAGCAAAUGAUGAUUCUUCCCUGAUAGAAUUCUCCACGAGUAAAUCUUCCUUCCCAUUUAUUAGCCAACCGUCUGUGACAGGUGGGUCAGGAGGGAGAGGAGAGAUGUGUGAUUAAAUUCUGCUUUUCUGGCAA